CCCCUCCCCCAUCUGGGUCAGUCUGACCACCUCUCUUUGUUCCUGCUCCCCAAGUAUACCUCGGUCAUCAGAUGUGUGAAACCUACAAUAAGAACUGUUAAAAUCCAUCUGGAAGGUACUGACUCCAUGCUUCAAAAUCAAUUCCAGCACACAGACUGUAGUGAAUUUGCUGCCCAGGCCACCACAAACUCUCAGAUCAACAUUGACACCAACUCUGUCCUGGAGCACAUCAACAGAUGUGUGGGCAGAGUGACCACACACAAAAAGAUUACAAUUUUCCCCAAUCAGAAGCCCUAGAUGAACAGAGAGGUUCGCCUCCUGCUCAAAGCAAGAGAUGCAGCCUUCAGGUCUGGAGAACGGGAGGCGUACAGCUCAGCCAGAGCCAAAUUGAGGAAGGGUAUUUUGUUCAAAAUAAGAAGAUCUCCCUCAAAGCUGAGCAUCAACCCAAUGAACUGCCUCUCACACUCUCCACCUCAGAUGUUUACUCCACUCUGUGUAAGGUGAAUGCACGGAAGGCAGCUGGCCCUGACAGAAUACCUGGUCGUGUACUUAAAGCCUGUGUGGAGCAGCUGGCUGAGGUCUUCACGGACAUUUUCAAACAGGCAUUUUCAACCCUGGCCCAGGCAACUGUCCCCACUAGUUUCAAAACCUCCACCAUCGUGCCAGUUCCGAAGCACUCCACUGCCUCGGCCCUCAACGACUUCCGUCCUGUCGCACUCACCCCCAUCAUUGCCAAGUGCUUUGAGAAACUGGUUGCAUCCCAUUUAAAAUCCUGUCUCCCUGCUACACUAGACCCAUUCCAAUUUGCCUAUCGCCACAAUAGGUCAACAGAGGACGCCAUCUCUACUGCACUUCACUCUGCCCUCACCCGCUUGGACAGUCAAAAUACACAUGUGAGAAUGCUGUUCAUUGAUUUCAGUUCUGCAUUUAAUACGGUAAUCCCCUCCAAGAUGAUCUCCAAGCUCAGCCAGCUUGGAAUCAGCACUUCCGUCUGCAACUGGAUUCUAGAUUUUCUGACUAACAGACCUCAGUCUGUUAAGUUAGAUAACCUCUCCUCCUCCAUCAUUACCCUGAACAUGGCGUGCCACAGGGCUGCAUACUGAGCCCUCUCCUGUACUCCCUAUUCACCCAUGACUGCGUUCCUGUUUAUGGCUCCAACACCAUAAUCAAAUUCGCAGAUGACAAUGAGUCAACCUACAGGGAUGAGGUGCAGCACCCGGCUGUGUGGUGUGCCACAAACAAUCCGGAACUAAACACCCUGAAGACAAA
ensembl:lncRNA